GGCAAUUUUAAAACUUCCCGGCCUCAAUAUCUUAAUUAUUUAAUAUAGAGGUACCCUAAUAUACAUUUAUUCAUAAUCAUGGUUCAAAUAUACUCAUGAUCAUAUUAAAGUUGUGAAGUAAAUAAAAUAUGGACGGCCGGCCACAUUUUU